rnacentral:tRNA from 1 species
GCAGCUCAGGUCUUGUCAGUGAGACGCGUGGUUGCCUUCCACGAGGGCCCGGUGCGACCCCGGGGAGCUGCUC